GACGAACGCUGGCGGCGUGCCUAAUACAUGCAAGUCGAACGCUGAAGGAGGAGCUUGCUUCUCUGGAUGAGUUGCGAACGGGUGAGUAACGCGUAGGUAACCUGCCUGGUAGUGGGGGAUAACUAUUGGAAACGAUAGCUAAUACCGCAUAACAGUAGAUAUCGCAUGAUAUGUACUUGAAAGGUGCAAUUGCAUCACUACCAGAUGGACCUGCGUUGUAUUAGCUAGGUGGUGAGGUAACGGCUCACCCAGGCGACGAUACAUAGCCGACCUGAGAGGGGGAGCGGCCACACUGGGACUGAGACACGGCCCAGACUCCUACGGGAGGCAGCAGGAGGGAAUCGUCGGCAAGGGACGGAAGUCUGACCGCACAACGCCGCGGGAGUGAAGAACGUUGUCGGAUCGUAAAGGUCGGUUGUAAGAGAAGAACGAGUGUGAGAGUGGAAAGUUCACACUGUGACGGUAUCUUACCAGAAAGCGACGGCUAACUACGUG
rnacentral:rRNA from 1 species